UACAGAGACUGCAAGCGUUAUUCGGAUUCACUGGGCGUAAAGGGUGCGCAGGCGGCCAAGUGUGUGAGGCGUGAAAGCCCGGGGGCUUAACCCCCGGAAUUGCACCUCAAAACUACAUGGCUAGAGCAUUGGAGAGGGUAGCAGAAUUCAUGGUGUAGCAGUGAAAUGCGUAGAUAUCAUGAGGGAAUACCAGAGGCGAAAGGCGGCU
rnacentral:rRNA from 1 species